rnacentral:rRNA from 1 species
GAUGAACGCUGGCGGCGUGCCUAAUACAUGCAAGUCGAGCGCACAGACGAGGAGCUUGCUCCUCUGACGUUAGCGGCGGACGGGUGAGUAACACGUGGAUAACCUACCUAUAAGACUGGGAUAACUUCGGGAAACCGGAGCUAAUACCGGAUAAUAUAUUGAACCGCAUGGUUCAAUAGUGAAAGACGGUUUUGCUGUCACUUAUAGAUGGAUCCGCGCCGCAUUAGCUAGUUGGUAAGGUAACGGCUUACCAAGGCGACGAUGCGUAGCCGACCUGAGAGGGUGAUCGGCCACACUGGAACUGAGACACGGUCCAGACUCCUACGGGAGGCAGCAGUAGGGAAUCUUCCGCAAUGGGCGAAAGCCUGACGGAGCAACGCCGCGUGAGUGAUGAAGGUCUUCGGAUCGUAAAACUCUGUUAUUAGGGAAGAACAAAUGUGUAAGUAACUAUGCACGUCUUGACGGUACCUAAUCAGAAAGCCACGGCUAACUACGUG